CCAAUUAAUUUAAAUUAAUAAAUUCAAUAAAACUUAUAAAAUAAUCUAAAUUAAAUUUUUAAUAUUUUUAUAUAAGUAAAAUAUUAUAAAAUAAAAAAAAAUUUAUUAAAUAAAAAUUAAAAAAUUUUUAAAAAACUAGGAUUAGAUACCCUACUAUUAAAUAAUAAAUAAAUAUUAUUAAAAUAAUAAAAAUUAAAUUUCUAAAUUUUAAAAAUUUGACGGUAUUUAAUAAAAUUAGAGGAAUUUAAAAUUUAAUUUGAUAAUAAACAAUAAUAUGAACUAUAAUUUAAUUUUUAUAUACUACUGUUAAAAAUAAAUUUUAAAAUUUCUUUUUUAAAAAUAAAAUUUAAUUAAAAAAUCAAGUCAUAAUUUAAAUUAUAUUAUAGAAUUAAGGAAUUACAAAAAAAAUUAAUAUUUUAAAAUAAAUUUAAAGUAAAUAAAGAAUCUAAAAGUAAAUUUAUAAAAUUAUUUAAAUUGAUAAUUUAAUUUAAAUAUGUACAUAUCGCCCGUCAUUCUUAAUACAUAAUAUAUAUAAUAUAUAAUAUAUUUUUAAGACAAGUCGUAACAAAGUAAAUAUACUGGAAAGUAAAUUUUGAAUU
rnacentral:rRNA from 1 species